CCUACGGGAGGCAGCAGUAAGGAAUAUUGGUCAAUGGGCGCAAGCCUGAACCAGCCAUGCCGCGUGCAGGAAGACGGCCCUACGGGUUGUAAACUGCUUUUGUACCGGAAUAAACCCUUUUACGUGUAAGAGGCUGAAUGUACGGUAAGAAUAAGGAUCGGCUAACUCCGUGCCAGCAGCCGCGGUAAUACGGAGGAUCCAAGCGUUAUCCGGAUUUAUUGGGUUUAAAGGGUGCGUAGGUGGCUUUUUAAGUCAGGGGUGAAAGACGGUAGCUUAACUAUCGCAGUGCCUUUGAUACUGAAGAGCUUGAAUGAACUAGAGGUAGGCGGAAUGUGACAAGUAGCGGUGAAAUGCAUAGAUAUGUCACAGAACACCAAUUGCGAAGGCAGCUUACUAUGGUUUUAUUGACACUGAGGCACGAAAGCGUGGGGAUCAAACAGGAUUAGAUACCCUGGUAGUCCACGCCCUAAACGAUGAAUACUCGAUGUUGGCGAUAUACGGUCGACGCGUACUAGACGAAGUACGUUAAGUUACUUACCUACCGUGGUAGGACGCCGCGAGGUAGUAACUAAUAGUAGUAGAGNGNGAGAGNGCGACGACGACGACGAGGGAGGAG
rnacentral:rRNA from 1 species